ACCUCGGCUCAGAAGAGAUUACCCGCUGAACUUAAGCAUAUCAGUAAGCGGAGGAAAAGAAACCAAUAGGGAUUCCCUUAGUAGGGGCGACCGAAAUGGGAAGAGCCCAGCGCAGAACCUCCCGGGCCACCCGGCCUGCGGCGGAAUGUUGCGUAAAGGGAAAGGUCGUAGUCAAACCCUACAACCACACGAUCU
rnacentral:rRNA from 1 species